rnacentral:rRNA from 1 species
GAUGAACGCUGGCGGCGUGCCUAAUACAUGCAAGUCGAGCGAACAGACGAGGAGCUUGCUCCUCUGACGUUAGCGGCGGACGGGUGAGUAACACGUGGAUAACCUACCUAUAAGACUGGGAUAACUUCGGGAAACCGGAGCUAAUACCGGAUAAUAUAUUGAACCGCAUGGUUCAAUAGUGAAAGACGGUUUUGCUGUCACUUAUAGAUGGAUCCGCGCCGCAUUAGCUAGUUGGUAAGGUAACGGCUUACCAAGGCAACGAUGCGUAGCCGACCUGAGAGGGUGAUCGCCCACACUGGAACUGAGACACGGUCCAGGCUCCUACGGGAGGCAGCAGUAGGGAAUCUUCCGCAAUGGGCGAAAGCCUGACGGAGCAACGCCGCGUGAGUGAUGACGGUCUUCGGAUCGUAAAACUCUGUUAUUAGGGAAGAACAAAUGUGUAAGUAACUAUGCACGUCUUGACGGUACCUAAUCAGAAAGCCCCGGCUAACUACGUG